rnacentral:rRNA from 1 species
UUCGAUUAAGCCAUGCGAGUCUAGAGGCCUAGCCUCGGCGUACCGCUCAGUAACACGUGGAUAACCUGCCCUGUUCUGGGGGAUAAGCUCGGGAAACUGAGAAUAAUACCCCAUAAUUCACCAUGCCUGGAACGGUUGGUGGAUGAAAGCUCAGGCGGAACAGGAUGGGUCUGCGGCGUAUCAGGUCGUAGGGGGUGUAAAGGACCUCCUAGCCAUCGACGCGUACGGGUUGUGAGAGCAAUCGCCCGGAGAUGGAUUCUGAGACACGAAUCCAGACCCUACGGGGUGCAGCAGGCGCGAAAACUUGACAAUGCGGGAAACCGUGAUCAGGGAACUCCAAUUGGACCAGUUUUUACUGGGUUCUGAACCGACUCUAAAUAGGUCGGGUAAUAGGGGCGGGAAAUAUCGGUGCCAGCCGCCGCGGUAAUACCGAAGCCUCAAGUGGUCGUCGUUAUUAUUGGGCCUAAAACGUCCGUAGCCGGUCUGGUGCAUUCGUGGGUAAAUCAACUCGCUUAACGGGUUGAAUUCUGCGAGCACGGCCAGACUUGGGACCGGGAGAGGUGUGGGGUACCUGUGGGGUAGGGGUAAAAUCCUGUCAUCCCACAGGGACCACCUGUUGCGAAGGCGCCACACUAGAACGGAUCUGACGGUCAGGGACGAAGCCUAGGGGCACGAACCGGAUUAGAUACCCGGGUAGUCCUAGGUGUAAACGCUGUGGACUUUGUGUCGGGAACUUUUCGAGAGUUCCCGGUGCCGGAGUGAAGACGUUAAGUCCACUGCCUGGGGAGUACGGUCGCAAGGCUGAAACUUAAAGGAAUUGGCGGGGGAGCACCGCAACGAGAGGAGCGUGCG